AUCAAGUUGACAGCACCUUCAGGACGCCAUAGUAAUAAUAUGUGAAGAGCAACUUUCUGACUGCGACUGACAGCUGACACCGCUCACAAGGCUGCUGGACAAGAUAUUUACAUCCACAGUGAUCUUCACCUUAUCUUGGAAAUUAAGGACUGGAUUGGCCUCGGACCGGCUUUAGUAUCCUGGUGAAGGAAUGUUGGAGUACGAUGAACUUUAUCCAAAGUCAGCGGGGAGGAGAAAUUCUCCUUGCCGAGGAGAGAGGGGAUCCGCUGCAACAUGAAGCCCAUGAUAUCCUGGCCCUCGGCUUUUUCAGGAACAUACAGGAAUCGGAGAUUGUAUGCCCGGCUUCGGUUUUCGGCUUCAUCAACCUUUUCCCUGAGGAGCGCAGUUGGUUACAGUGUGGGCUCCAUGCUUACUCUGACUUGAUGCUUGCCAUACCAUCACAGAGGGGCAGAGCUUUGUGAAGAGUCAAUUGGAAGCUCAUUUCUUGAUGAGAUUGAUCUGGUUUGAAGGCUCCUCCAAUGUGUUCCUGGAGCAGCAGCGGCCCUGUCCCUGUUUUAAGUUAAGUGAUGGCAGGCACCCAUAAAUGACACCAAGGGAGCUGUAAGUAACAUAGAGCUGAAGAUUGUUAACCAGAAUCAGCUGGUAAAAAGGUCACACUAAAAUAAAAAUAUGUACUGGGAAACCUCCAAGGUUCUGUGUCAUGUAAAAACAUGACUUUAUCACCAUGGAUGUCCAUGACCCCAACUUCACCCAGUGUUGAACUACAGUAAAUCCUCCUUUCACCAGCAGAUGUCGCCAUUCCACCCUUUCCUUCACCCUCCCUGCUCUCACAUACCUACAAACAUGCCAUUGAUAAAAGAAUGUUUACAGUUUACAGUUACCCACAAUCCUGAGCAGUGUGUGUUGAUAUCAGAGGGCUCAUUUUACACACAGCCUGCACGAAAACUGCUGCUGCAGAGGCAUGGAUAUUUCCUUUACUGACCCUAAUCCAUCCACGUGGGGGGAUUUAUUGUUGGCUUGUCAGAAUAUGAUAAGCCAAAAUGGUGUAUUUCAA